rnacentral:rRNA from 1 species
UGACUCUGGGAUAAGCCUGGGAAACCGGGUCUAAUACUGGAUACUACUUCCUGCCGCAUGGUGGGGGGUGGAAAGGGUUUUACUGGUUUUGGAUGGGCUCACGGCCUAUCAGCUUGUUGGUGGGGUAAUGGCUCACCAAGGCGACGACGGGUAGCCGGCCUGAGAGGGUGACCGGCCACACUGGGACUGAGACACGGCCCAGACUCCUACGGGAGGCAGCAGUGGGGAAUAUUGCACAAUGGGCGGAAGCCUGAUGCAGCGACGCCGCGUGAGGGAUGACGGCCUUCGGGUUGUAAACCUCUUUCAGCAGGGAAGAAGCCACAAGUGACGGUACCUGCAGAAGAAGCGCCGGCUAACUACGUGCCAGCAGCCGCGGUAAUACGUAGGGCGCAAGCGUUGUCCGGAAUUAUUGGGCGUAAAGAGCUCGUAGGCGGUUUGUCGCGUCUGCUGUGAAAGCCCGGGGCUCAACCCCGGGUCUGCAGUGGGUACGGGCAGACUAGAGUGCAGUAGGGGAGACUGGAAUUCCUGGUGUAGCGGUGA